rnacentral:rRNA from 1 species
CGGGGUGGAGUAAUGUCUGGGAAACUGCCUGAUGGAGGGGGAUAGCUACUGGAAACGGUAGCUAAUACCGCAUAACGUCGCAAGACCAAAGAGGGGACCUUCGGGCUUCUUGCCAUCGGAUGUGCCCAGAUGGGAUUAGCUAGUAGGUGGGGUAACGGCUCACCUAGGCGACGAUCCCUAGCUGGUCUGAGAGGAUGACCAGCCACACUGGAACUGAGACACGGUCCAG